CUGUGUGUGCAUGCACGCAGCAUUUCAUUUGAACGCACUAUAAAACCACAUUUUCCUGUUUCAAAUUCAAUUUCGAUUUCAAUUUUUUUUUUUGUAAUUUCAUAAAAAAUAAUUUAUUAUCACAUUUGAUCAUUGUUCCAAUAGAUGACGACGGUUUCCCUAUAACAAAAUCAAGAUUUUGAACCAUUUGUCAAUGAGAAUGUGGAAGAAAAAAGAUCAACAGGCUAAAUUUUUAUUUUAAAAUUGAAAAAAAAAUUGGUUUUAUACAUUUAAAAUUU